GGAGCUUAGGAACGGUUGCUAGGGCACACCCCCUUCCCUCUAAGCGAUGGCUGAGAGGCGGUGCAUGCAGAUGGGGACUCGGCUCGCCCCCCAUCUCACCCCCCCAAGUGGAGAUUGGUCGUCUUGUCGGAUUGCCCAGGCACUUGUUGCCGAAACAGCCAAGGCUCCAGCUCCAGAGGGCAGUGAAGGAGGAAGACACGGGAGCAAGACUACCCUGAAGGGGUCACCAGCGGUCUCAAUCCUGAAACAGACCUGGGUCUCUUCUUCCCACCUGCCGAGCAGCAUGUGAGCAGCAUGACUGGCCAGCUGCAGGAGAAGCCCCCAGAGCCAGGACCACGACACAGCCACCCGCUGCCAAGGUCAAGGUGUGAAGGACUUUCCCCCACCACGGUGGUGUCUGGUCCGUACCUCCGCCCGGGUGAGGAUGUAGGCACCUCGGCUCUGCUGAUGACCAGUUCAAGCCAACAGGGACCCCUGUCUCCAGCCACCCUCACAGACAUGUCAGCCGUGGAGUAGGGUGGACGCUUUCUCUCAUCUUCUCAGGGUUUCAGGAUUUUUUUUUCUUUCUUUUUUUCUUUUUUUUUUUCUUGGUUUUUGGUUUUUGUUUUGUGGCUGAACACUCAUAAGCAAAGAGGACAUCAUGGGGGACCAGCAACUGUACAAGACCAAUCACGUGGGCCACGGUGGUGAGAACCUCUUCUAUCAACAGCCACCCCUUGGUGUCCACAGUGGGCUGGGCCACAGCUAUGGGAAUACAAUCUCCGGGGCUGGGAUGGACGCCCCGCAGGCCUCACCCAUCUCGCCUCACUUCCCUCAAGAUACUCGGGAUGGUCUCGGCUUGCCUAUUGGCUCCAAAAACCUUGGCCAGAUGGAUACCUCCAGGCAGGGAGGAUGGGGAAGCCAUGCAGGGCCUGGGAACCACGUCCAGCUUCGUAGCAACUUGGCCAACUCAAACAUGAUGUGGGGGGCGCCCACCCAGGUGGAGCCCGCUGAUGGCUAUCAAUACACUUAUUCCCAGGCCAGCGAGAUCCGGACCCAGAAACUCACCAGUGGUGUUUUGCACAAGCUGGACUCUUUCACCCAGGUAUUUGCCAACCAAAACCUGCGGAUUCAGGUCAACAAUAUGGCCCAGGUGCUGCACACCCAAUCAGCAGUGAUGGAUGGAGCCUCUGACAGUGCCCUCCGUCAACUGCUGUCUCAGAAGCCUGUGGAGCCCUCAGCAUCAGCUAUAGCUUCCCGCUACCAGCAGGUGCCCCAGCAGCCUCACCCUGGCUUCACGGGUGGACUGCCCAAACCAGCCCUUCCAGUCGGGCAGCACGCUCCCCAAGGGCACCUGUAUUAUGACUACCAGCAGCCCCUGGCCCAGAUGUCCAUGCAAGGAGGACAGCCACUGCAAGCCCCUCAGGUGCUGUCCGGCCAUAUGCAACAAUUGCAGCAGCACCAGUAUUACCCACAGCCGCCGCCUCAGCAGCAGCAAGCCGGACUGCAGCGGAUCUCUGUGCAGGAGAUGCAGCAGCAGCAGCAGCCGCCGCCGCAGCAAAUUCGCCCCUCACCACCUCAGCAGCAGCAGCAGCUCCAGCUGCAGCAGCGGCAGAGUUCACUGCAGAUACCUCAGUAUUAUCAGCCCCAACCCAUGAUGCAACACUUGCAAGAGCAGCAGCAGCCAUCCAUGCACCUGCAGCCACCCUCAUACCACAGGGACCCUCAUCAGUAUACCCCGGAGCAGGCACACGCUGUCCAGCUGAUCCAGCUGGGCUCUAUGCCUCAGUAUUACUAUCAGGAGCCUCAACAGGCCUAUAGCCACCCCCUCUACCCGCAGAGCCACCUGUCCCAGCACCAGCAGCGUGAAGACAGUCAGCUGAAGACAUAUUCUAGUGACAGACAGACCCCGGCUAUUCUGAGCUCCCAUGGGGACAUGGGGCCUUCUGAUACAGGAGUGGCGGAUCCGGCCAGCUCAGAAAUGACUCGGGUCACUAGUACUUUCCCUCACCAACCGCUCCUGUCCCCCAGUGGGGUCCACCUCAACAACAUGGGGUCUCAGCAGCAGCAGCCGUCUCCCAGUGCGAUGUGGCCCCAGAUGCACUUACCUGAUGGGAGAGCCCAGUCUGGAUCCCCGGAAUCAAGCAGCGGCCAAACCAAAGGAGUGUUUGGGGAACAGUUUGAUGCCAAGAACAAGCUAACAUGCUCCAUCUGCCUGAAGGAGUUCAAAAGCCUGCCCGCCCUGAACGGCCACAUGCGGUCCCACGGGGGAAUGAGGGCAUCCCCCAGCCUCAAACAGGAGGAAGGAGAGAAGGCCCCACCGCCUCAGCCUCAGCCUCAGCCCCAGCCUCAGCCGCCACUGCCACCUCCGCCUCCUCCGCCGCCGCCACCGCAGCUCCCUCCUGAGGCAGAGCGCCUCACGCCUAUGGUCAUGCCCGUGUCUGUCCCUGUCAAGCUAAUCCCACCCAAGCCCAGCUCUCAGGGGUUCACCAACAGCGUCGCUGCCACCCCCACGGCCAGAGACAAGCCAGCCAGCUCGAUGUCGGACGACGAGAUGCCUGUGCUCGUGAGGAUGACCCUCUCCUCCCCUCACUCCCCCCAAGGGGCUGCCCCCCGUGCGCCUGCUGAAAUCCCCCGGAAACAUCCACCCAUCGCCGCCAAAGUUGAGGAGCCCCUCAAGACCCUACCAGAGAAGAAGAAGUUCCGGCACCGGCCUGAGCCCCUCUUCAUCCCACCACCGCCUUCUUCCUAUACUCCCAACCCCACCUCUUACUCGGGGGCCACCCUGUACCAGAGCCAGCUACGCUCCCCGCGAAUCCUCGGGGACCACCUGCUCCUGGACCCCGCCCACGAACUGCCCCCCUACACGCCGCCACCCAUGCUGAGCCCCGUGCGCCAGGGCUCAGGGCUCUUCAGCAAUGUCCUCAUCUCUGGCCACGGCCCUGGAGUGCACCCCCAGCUGCCCCUCACUCCCCUCACGCCCACGCCACGCGUGCUGCUGUGCCGUUCCAGCAGCAUUGAUGGCAGCAAUGUGACAGUCACCCCAGGACCUGGAGAGCAGACUGUGGAUGUUGAACCACGCAUCAACAUUGGCUUAAGGUUCCAAGCAGAGAUCCCAGAACUGCAAGACGUCUCCGCCCUGGCUCAGGACACACACAGGGCCACACUGGUAUGGAAGCCGUGGCCUGAGCUGGAAAACCAGGCCCUCCAGCAGCAAGUGGAGAAUCUUCUGAAUUUGUGUUGUUCCAGUGCGCUGCCAGGUGGAGGGACCAACUCGGAACUGGCUUUGCACUCUCUCUUUGAGGCCAAAGGUGACGUGAUGGCUACCCUGGAAAUGCUGCUGCUGCGGAAGCCAGUCAGGUUAAAAUGUCAUCCUUUAGCAAAUUACCACUACGCCGGUUCUGACAAGUGGACAUCCCUAGAAAGAAAACUGUUUAAUAAAGCAUUGGCCACCUACAGCAAAGACUUUAUUUUUGUACAGAAGAUGGUGAAGUCCAAGACAGUGGCUCAGUGCGUGGAGUACUACUACACUUGGAAGAAGAUAAUGCGACUAGGCCGGAAACACCGGACACGCCUGGCGGAAAUCAUUGACGACUGCAUGACCAGCGAAGAGGAAGAGGAGGCCGAGGAGGAAGAAGAAGACCCAGAAGAAGAUAGGAAAUCCAUAAAAGAAGAGGAGAGUGAAGUGCCCAAGUCUCCAGAGCCACCGCCCACCACUGCCCUGGCUCCCACGGAGGGGCCACCCAUGCAGGCUGUUGGCCAACAACCAUCAGGCAAUUUCAUUUGUGAAAUGCCCAACUGUGGGGCUGUGUUCAGCUCCCGACAGGCACUGAACGGUCACGCCCGCAUCCACGGCGGCACCAACCAGGUGGCUAAGACCCGAGGUGCCGUCCCCUCUGGGAAGCAGAAGCCGGGUGGCACCCAGAGUGGGUACUGCUCCGUGAAGAGUUCACCAUCUCACAGUACCACCAGUGGAGAGACGGACCCCGCCACCAUCUUCCCCUGCAAGGAGUGCGGCAAGGUCUUCUUUAAGAUCAAAAGCCGGAAUGCGCACAUGAAAACCCACCGGCAGCAAGAGGAGCAGCAGAGGCAGAAGGCUCAGAAGGCAGCCUUCGCAGCAGAAAUGGCAGCCACCAUCGAGAGGACUACGGGGCCGGUGGGGGCGCCCGAGCUGCUGCCCCUGGACCAACUGAGUCUGAUGAAGCCAGUCAAGGAUGUGGACAUCCUGGAUGACGAUGUGGUCCAGCAGUUAGGCGUCAUGGACGAGGCCGAGGUGGUAGGCACGGAUCUUCUUUUGGACGACCAAGAUUCGGUUUUGCUUCAGGGUGAUACAGAACUCUAAAGCCUCCCGUUCAUCACCUAGAGACACAGAAGCCACGGCCUCCACCUCUGUCGCCCCUAGAACCUGGACUUCCUGCUCCUUUGGAAACCCUUUUAAACUACCUGUUUAAAAAGCGGUCCUUUUCUUCAGGUUAAGGGAGGGGGAAAAAUCCACUUCUUUCUCUUUUACCUUCUUUUACAUUGUUUUUGUUGGGGGUUGGGGGGAAUAAAAAAAAUUGGCACAACUAUCUUUAAGAGGUGUCUCAUCUGGGCUAUGUUCUCACGAGGCUGCUUCCCUUGCGGUGAGCCUUCUCCUUCGUGUUGCUUUCAGAUGUCAGCCACCCUGGAUGCCUUUAUCUCCAAACUUCUUGCUCUGUGUGUGUGUGUGUGUGUGUGUGUGUGUGUGUGUGUGUGUAGGUAGGUAGGUAGGUAGGUAGGUAGGUAGCAGGUUAUCCCAUUCAUUCUGGGACUUUAGGCCAUGUUUUCCCACAAAGAAUUAUUUUAUUCUGUUCUGACCUGCAAGAGUUCUUGCUCUCAAAUCAGAAGAAUUUCUCUCUCUCUCUCUCUCUCUCUCUCUCUCUCUCUCUCUCUCUCCCCCUCCCCCUCUCUGUUUUAAACAUGGUCCGUGGCCAGUGGAGUUCUGAACUUAUUUUGCACCACUUGAACGUACUGUGAAACCUCUUUCACUCUUGACUUGCUCUAAUGUGUGUGCUGGUCUGAGCUUUGCCUAGAUGUUAGCUACAGAGAGAUAGGGUUUUUCUUAACACAUACAGAUGGAAAGUGCUUUGAAAGCCAACACAAAUGUGUCCAGACUCAAGUUUGCUACAGUGCUCGCAUUCAAACAAUGAAUGUAUUUGUUCCAAGUCACUUACCAAAGCGAUUCCAGACUUCUCUAAGCUACAUGGCUUUGCUCUGUCCCCGACAGCAGGGGGCGCCAUUUGUACUUGAAGGCAAUAAACCUGCAAUCCCACAAAACUGUCAUUGCCUAAGCUUUCCCUGUCAGUUAGGCUGACCCCCCUCCCACUGCUAGUGCACAGUCAGACUGGACCACUGCCCCUGGCACAGUGGGGCGCCUGUCAGCCUCCCUUCUGUGAUCAUGGCCUGUGGCCUCCAGGUGUCUUCAGGUCUUAACCCUCCUUGAGUAGACUAGCUCCCCAGCUCUGUGUAAGCAUAGCUAUCAUGCCGGGCUCUGUGCUGGCCCGUGAUCAGCGUGGCAUUAGCGAGCAAUCCUAGUGGAGGAGUAGGGUUGGACACCCUUCACAUUGGAUUCUACAAAACCAUUUGGCACAUACUCGGGGCCAGGGCACCGUGGCCCACCACAGCCCCCACUCAGGCAGUGGCUUCUGAGCCUCAGGAAAGCCACAAACAGGAGACUCUUUACCAAGAUUCUUUUCCUGUCCGUCACUGUUUUUACAACUCUCUUGAGGUCCUUCCUAGGUGGGGUGGGGGGUAUAUUUUCCUCGCUGUUGUUUCAGAGGCUUGUCGUAGUAGCCUGUGUGAGAUCUCAGCAGCGUUGCUUUAAGAACUCCCUGGGCAUCUUGCAUGAGCUUCCUUUAAAACCAUUCCAGUGGCCUCUCCUCAUCAGACCCCAAGGCCCUGUCUGUUGUGGCGUCUGCUUAGCUACAGAAAAGAGCAAAUGCCCAGAGAGCUUGAGGAAGGAAGCUGGUGUCCUCCUCCUGCUUGGGGAUUUGCCCAGUUUGAAACCUUAGAAACGAGCUGAUCUGCCACCGCCGAUAUCCAAGGCACAGUUCAUUUUGAUUUGUCAUGCAGAAUAGCAUAAGGAAUAUUUUGACUUGAAAUAACCAAAGAACUCCUCCUUAAUGAGACAGUUCAGAUACCUGUGUUUGUAUUUCCUAUCAGCUUAAAGUUUAAUUGACUUCCGAUUAAAAUAUUGCACUUUUUUUUUUCCUGAAAUGAUUUUACCUGCAUGUACGUGUUGUGUUUCAGCUGCCCCUCCUCCCAGGCCCCAAAGAACUUUUCUUCCUAAUGGUUAAUGUCUUCACACGGCUCCCACUGAUGCGAUGGUUUUUCAGUAAUGGAUUUAGAUUUCCUUUGAGAAAGCCUGUAUAUAAAAAGUUAACAGAUAUAUUUUAUGGAAAAAAAAACCCAUCUUAUUUUCAAAUAUAUUUAACUGCUGUUAUAUUUUAUUAGAGGAAGGUUGUAAAUAUUUUCUAGGAGUUCUAUUGUAAAGAAAAGUAUUUUUGAAAAAAAUUAAUGUAAUAAAAAGGAAAACGUUUUUACAUAGUGGCUGUGCCUGCUUCCUGCUGUGCUUUGGUUCGGCCGUGUUCUCGGCCAGUGACUGCAUGCCUUCAGAUCAGGAUGUGACUCAGAUUUGCACUAUUCUAAGUUAGCAUCGUCGUUUCUAAUAUGCUUAACUGUACGUUUCCGGAAUGCGGCUCCCUCCCUCUGCACCGGCAAGUGCUGUGUGGAGUCUACUCAUGUAUUUUUAAUGCGUGUAUUUUUAAUAAGGAUUUUAUGUAACAUUUUGGCAAAAAAAGAAAAAAGAAAAGAAAAGAGAAAAGGACAGUAUUUUCUAGUGAAUUUUAUAAUAACAUUUUGCUAAAAAAUGUUUCUUCCUAGAUCAGUUUUUUGUUAAGGUGAAUCAAACGUCUUAUUUUCCAGGGGUUUUAAAAAAAAAAAGAAAAAAAAAGUUUGAAGCUGGAAAGCAACAUUCUAUUUAAACACCACAUGUAACAAAUGAAUAAAGAUGUUUUGUAGACCUGUC
ensembl:processed_transcript transcriptional regulating factor 1